UACAGAGGUCUCAAGCGUUGUUCGGAUUCAUUGGGCGUAAAGGGUGCGUAGGCGGCGCGGUAAGUCGGGUGUGAAAUCUUGGAGCUUAACUCCGAAACUGCAUUCGAUACUGCCGUGCUUGAGGACUGGAGAGGAGACUGGAAUUUACGGUGUAGCGGUGAAAUGCGCAGAUAUCAGGAGGAACACCGGUGGCGAAGGCGGCGUUCUGGACUGCAACUGACACUGAGGAACGAAAGCCAGGGGAGCAAACGGG
rnacentral:rRNA from 1 species